CAAUUUUUUGUUACAGGAAAAAAUAGUUUAUUAUAAAUUCAAUGCAUAGCAUUUUCUGGUUUAGACCUUUCCAUUAUUGUUCUGACAGAACAAAGACUAUGAGGUUGUCAGAAAUAAAUUGUUCAUUUUGUUUCCUAAAUAUGUGGCAAAGACAUUGUAUGUUUUUUGUUUGUUUGCUUGUUUGUUUGUUUUAGAAUAGUUUGAAAUGUCUUCAAACCUUUUGACCAACCAAGAAAGCUUUUGCCUGGGCACAGGCUUUAUCUUUCUUAGCAUUACACUAGAGAUACUAAUCCCUCCCAACAAUUUCAUUAUGAUUAUCGCAAUAAAAUAUAACGAUCCAUUAAGUCCAUGGGGCAGAUGUUUAUUUAUUUAUAACCAUGCCUUAUUCCACAGAGAAUUUAAAGAGGAAUAAAAGAUUAUUUCCUCAUUGCAUCAAAUGAAUAUCUUUUAUUUUGUCUAAUGUUGUAUUUCUUUUUCUUUAAUUGGCACUAAAUGUUUAUUUGCAUUCUUUUAAUUACUUUUAAGGCAUCCAUUAUUUCUGGAUUACAUUACUGAACUCUCAAUAAAUCAAUACAUAGUUCUGUAUAUAAUUUUUUCAACAUUUUUUCCUUCUUUAAUUUGGUUCAUUUGUAUCUCCCUUUGCUGUUUAUUGAGUAGAAAUUCUGAUUUUUGUAGCAAAGGGAGAACAAACAAACAACACACAGAAUAUUCUGUAUUUAAUGCUGCAAUUGUCUCUAUGGUUGCAAUGUGUAGGUGGGGUGCAUUCAAGUGGGCUUGUGGUAUUUGUGUGUGUGUGUGUGUGUAUGUGUGUGUGUGUGUUGGAAGAAUAUAUAUUGAGGAUGAUUCCUAAUUUUAUCACUUUGUUGAGGAACUGAAAUUGUGGCUACACAUUCACUCUAAAUAUUUUGUCUCACAGUCCCCUCCCUUCAACAAUUAUAUACAGUACACUAUUUGUUGGAAGCUCAGGAGAAAAAGGGCAUUUAAGAGCAUGAGAUUUGGUGGCAGACUGACCUAAUAGUAGAUGGUACCAGUGAGAUCUUGAGCAACGUAAAUGUUUCAACUGAAAAACGGUAACAAUAAAACAUUUUUCAGAGUGAUGUUGUACUAAAUGAAAUGAUAUACAUAAAGUAGCCUAUAAUGACCCAUGCACAGUCAUAAUAUCAAAUAUUUACUGAGCAUCUACUAUGUGCUAGAUUAUUUUAAGCACUUUUGAAAAUAUAAGUAUUUUGAUAAAUGUAUAUCAUAUAUUGUCUUAAUAAGAUUAUAUUGUUGUUAUAUUUCAUCUUAUUGCUAAUUUUAUUUUUUUAAGAAAACCUUUUUUUGGAAAGAAUCGAAACUAAAAACCCAACUAUUUAAAAAAUGGAAACUUUUGGCCGGGAACGGAGGCUCACACCUAUAAUCUCAGCACUUUGGGAGGCCGAAUGGGCGGAUCACAAGGUCAAGAGAUUGAGACCAUCCUGGCCAACGUGGUGAAACUCCGUCUCUACUAAAAAUACAAAAGUUAGCUGGGCAUGGUGGCACAUGCCUGUAGUCCCAGCUACUCGGGAGGCUGAGGCAGAAGAAUCGCUGGAACCCAGGAGGCGGAGGUUGCAGUGAGCCGAGACAGCACCACUGCACUCCAGACUGGCGACAGAGUGAGACUCCAUCUAAAAAAAAAAAAAAGGAACCUUUUGCCUUACUUCGUUUGCUAGCUACAUUCAAGUCUGCAAUUAAGCUCGGUGUUUUGCCUUUCUCAAACUGUGCACAGGUCCUCUUGUUUGUUCCCCUUCUCUCUGUUGCCUAGGAAUACAGCCAAAAACUUGAGUAAUAGAUGAUAGAUGGGUCUGUCACUAAGCACAUCCUAGUGACAUAGAUAAGAAGCAAAUGCUACAAAAUUAUAGGUGCAAACUACAAGUUGUGUUUUAAUUGGUUUUAACAAGUACUUAUAAGCAGAAGAACUGUGAAAAAUCUAACAUUUUGUCCUACUUGCAAGCCUGCCAGUCUUUUGAGUGCUGGGCAAAGACACAAUAGUGCUGGGUCAGAGACAAUUAACUUUACUACUCACAUUAAUAGCAUUAGCAAGAGUAUCAUGAUUUUCUUGCACUGAUUCCUCAAGCCGCAAUUCCCACAGAAAAGCUCAGGUGACACCUACAUGCUCAGUGGGUUGCAUUAGAAAAGAGGAACGCAGAGCUCAGGAAACAUGGAUAUUUUAUAAUGGCCAGUAAAGAUGUCCCUUUGCUUUAGAAAGAGGCACUACCUCUAUCCAAGGCUGCAAGCACACCUGCCUUUUGUUUUAGAAGGAGAAAUGAUUUCUAUCUUCCAAGGCUGUUCACUAUAUGAAAAGACAGUCCCAAACAAAAGGCAGUUACUGACUUGCUUGAAAAAUGUGCAGAAAUGAUACGCUGCUUGAAUGUGGACAGCUGACACAGGGACAAGGAGUAAAAAUGAUUAGGUUUUGAGCUUGACCAACUAGGAAGAUAAUUAUUAGCAGUAGAGAAAAAAAGAACAAAGUAGAUUUUAGGGCAGAUAAGCCAUUUUUUAGGUAGGUUGAGUCUGAGAUGCCUCCAUAAAUAUAAGUUGAAAAUAUGAGAUUGGAGUUGAGACUUCAGAAAUACAUAUUUUGAGUAGUUACACUACAGAGGUAAGUCAUCAGAGUUCAUAAAAUUAAAGUGAGAAAAAGAGGCAAGUGAAGAAAAACAAGAUGGCAUUGCAUGAAGAACUUUCUUAGGAAGGAAGGCAGCAAAGAGGUAAAAUUGGAGGUGUAGUCAGAGAUGGAAGAUGAAAAAGGAAAAUAACAAUAUUUCAGAAAUGAAAUGAAAAAGGUCUUUUACUAAGUAAUUGGUACUACUACUUGUCAGUUUCAAGUGCUGUAAAAAAAAUGGGAAGAACCACACAUGUGCACUUUCAGUACUAUGUAUUUUAUGCUUCAGGGAUGCAUACCUGUUUAACAAAAGUAUGUUUUUUCUCAAAGUGUGUUGAAUAGUCCAGAAAAAGAUGGAGGUAGAAGUCAGACUUCAGGAGAUAAAGGAACCAGAAAGAUCAUUGAAGGCUGUGAUGGUAGAAAACAUUUUGACAAAGAGUUGUGCAAUGAGAAAGCUAGGGGUGGGACAAUUAAUUUUGAGGGUAACAAUUGGGGAUUUGAGUAGAUUUUUUGCUUCUGUUCUUUAAUUGUUUUGUCUUCUUUUUAAAGAAACCAAGAGACUGUUAAUGUAGUAGGAGCAGAGUUUCACAAUACAGAGCAGAGAGGGUGUUGGUUGAUAAAGAAUUGUCUCAAAUGAGAGGAAAAGAAUGGAGCCAAUAACAGAGAUGAUGUUUAAUUUGGGAAAGGUGGGACAUGUUAACAUGAGUCCAGAGAACUAAAAUGAGCUUAUGGCAUGCAGAUGCUGAAGAUGAAGAAAGGAAAGGAAGGAAAAGGAGGAAUUUAUAUUUAUUUAUUGAAUAAUCUUGUAAAACUGUUAAUCACCCCUUUUUACUGACGAUAAGACAUAAAUGUCAGAGGUGUUUUGCCUAAAGUAAAAAAUUCGAUAGUCAAGCUGGGUUUAAAACCAUAUCAGUCUUACGUCAAAGCAUGUUUUAAUUGCUGUUGUGUGGUUGUGAUUUUAAGGGAAGAAGAAGAGUUUUAUAAUGGGUUCUCUGAAAAAUAAAAUAUCAAUUAGAAAGAAACAAAACAACUGCUGAGAAGCAGUGAAUCCAAGCAGAAUCUGAGUAUCAUCACUUUUUAGUUAAACUAACCAGUCCAAUAUCCUGAUUUUUCUUUAACAGGCAAAGAAUUUUUGAGUCUUUCCCAUAGACUGAGUUCUUGUGAACUAUUUUACAGCAAUAAUGGCAUCCAAUCCUAUAGAUAACAAUAACAAAGCUGCAGACCAUUUUGUUGCCAGGUUUCUCCUCCAGGGUGGCUUUCCAGCUAGUUUGUAAACAAAUAACUCAGGUGGCCCUGUCAUGUUACAUUAACUAAAAACCAAGUCUAAAGCACACAUAUAAUAACAUAUGUGUGUGCAAACUGGCUUGCUUUCAAAUUCCUAAAUCAUACAAUUAAAUUUUAAAAAUAACUGUAUUUGGAAACAAGAAAAAAGUCACUUUGACACCCAACUGAUGUAUAUAAAGGAGACUGUGCAUAUGGGUUUUAAAAUGAGAUGAAAAUUGAAAUUUGAUCUUUGAGAUUAAAAACAAUGUUAUGUAAAUCUAUUUUUAUUUAAUUUUUCUGAAAAAUAUUGUAUUUGCUUUAUACCCUCUUGCUAUACAAACUUAUAUUGUUUUGCUUACCCUCUUUUUUUAUUCCUCCUACUUUUUCUUAAUUUUGAUAUCUCUGAAUUUAAAGUCUAGAGAAUGAUUCAUCUUCACUAGUUCUAUCUUUUCCAGUGCUAGUAUUUUUGUUUUUGAGCUGUGGUUUCCCUAUCCCAUUUUUGAGAUCUCAAACUAUAAUUUGGUGUCGAGUACCCAGGUAUCUUAUCUUUAAAGUGAAGACGUAGGCAGCACAAAGGUGCUUUUAUUAGAACGUCCACUAGAUCAGAAUGACCAGUGCACAAAAUUUAUUUUCCUAGCAGACUCACCAAAUUUAACCUGGAAGAGAAUGUCUGACUCUGUUGAAUUUUCUUAGGCAAAUACAAUAUUUGAAAGUCACUGAAUGUUUCAAACAAAAUAUAACAACAUUCAGAUAACAGAACUGUGUUAUUGUUCUCAUGUGUUUAUGCCCAGAAAAUAAGCAGACUGGAGCUUCUCUAAGAUUAAAAGUCAAAACAGUAUUACAAUUCCAGCCCAGAUUUGACUAUCUAAUCAUUUAAACCUUAGUAUCAUCAUCAUCACCACCGUCACUGCAUACUCAUUAAGUUAAAAAAAAUUCCUUUAAAAUAAAUGGAAAAGAAAAUAUCUGUGUAAAUAGAUUAAAGCGAUUCCUGCUCACCACUCCCUUUCUCCCUGGGGCAGGAGACUUGAGCACAUCAAAGGAACUCAUAGCGUUCUUGGAGUAAGUGUGAAAGCCACCGUGAUGAACUAAAUGAAUGCUUACAUCUAAAGAAAGAUGUAAACAUAUUACAUUAAAAGGUGGCAUGACAUAAUGGUAUAUCACUGAUUAAGAAAUGUGAGGCGACUUUCAUGUGCCACUGAUAAAUCAUUAUAAUUUGACAUAGUAGAUAAUGCCCCUAUAUUUCAUCUGCAUACCUGGAAAAUGAGGACUUUCAAAACAUAUUCCUGCCAGUUACAGUCAGGUAUUGCAAAACAAGCAUUUAGUGAGCAUCUAAACUGAAGCUUAGAACUUCAGUUUUGUGGCGGGGCGCGGUGGCUCACGCCUGUAAUCCCAGCACCUUGGGAGGCCAAGACAGGCGGAUCACUUGAGGUCAGGAGUUUGGGACCAGCCUGGCCCACAUGGUGAAACCCCAUCUCUACUAAAAAUACAAAAAUUAGCCAGGCAUGGUUGCACGCACCUGUAGUCCCAGUUACUCAGGUGGCUGAGGCAGAAGAAUCGCUUGAACCUGGGUGGUGGAGAUUGCAGUGAGCUGAGAUCCUGCCACUGCACUCCAGCCUGGGCAAGAGAGUGAGACUCCAUCUCAAAAAAAUAAAGAACUCCAAUUUUAUUUUCUUCAUGGCAUAGCAUAAUAGAUGAGUUAACAAAUUAAUGAAACAGAUUGACAUGUGUUAAUUGCAAUCAUAUACAGAACAGAAAUCAUUUCCAUAAAAUAUUUAACCUGCCUGUUACUUCCCCUAAAUCUCUCUGUAGCUGAUGCCCCAAUUUCACUAUUAGCUCUUCAGACUUGGAUGUUAAGCACUGUGCCUUCCCCUGGACCUCUCUUUAAAUGUCACAGCUAUUUCUGGCAGGCCAGUCUGCAUGUCCACUAGAAGAAAAGGGACCUGGGUUCUUCAUCAGCCCAUCCUUAGAUCUUAGUGCACAUAUGCACCUAGUAAGUGCCGAGCAAAUAUUCAAUGAAUGACUGUACCUUUCCUAAGAAUUCUUCGUUGAUUAUCCUUCAACAGAGCUAACUUCUCUCCCUAUGUGCUCAGUCAAAUGCUCUCCCAUUGGACUGAGUUCAGCAUAAACUGCCAUGUUUUGAGAUGAUUGGUGUAAGCGAAUGUCCUCUCCUGAGUUGCGAGAAUCUAAGAGCAGGACAACAUCACAUGCUUCUCUACUUUCUAUAGUUCUUUUGUCCACUGUCUAACAAAUAAUGCCAAGUGAAAAAGGGAAAAAUGAAUGAAUAAAUUUUGUAAGAUGCCAAUGGAAAAAAACAGAAAAUCAAGAGUUACUAAAAAAAACCACUAACUCCAUUUAAUUGUUUUAGACUAAGAAUCCCUCAGUGAUACCUAGCCAAAAUUAGGAUUCAGAUCCAAAAUAAAAGAUACUGUUGCCCCAAGUAGAUAUCAUAAUUUGUUACAAUAAGUAAAAAUGUAUAUUAUUCAAUACUAAACUGUUAUACCACAUUUCAAGUUUUUAAAACUUUAUCUUCCUUUUAUGCAUAGAUAGUAGUAGAGCAUUAAGAACAUGCAUGGCUAUCACCUGAGGUGUUGAUUGUAAAUUCACAUUCCUAGGCUUUGUCUCUUAACUACUGAAUCGGAAUCUUUGGGAGUGAACUGACAGGAAUCUGAAUUUUAAAAAUAAGGUCUUCAGGUGAUUCUCAUGCAUCUAAAGAUAACUGCUUUAAUAUAUAACAAAGAAACCCAAAGAGGGACACUUGAGGAUUUUUUCAAUAUAUCUUCUUUUGCAGAGAUUAAUAGUGAAUGUUGUUUUAUCUGCUGUUUAGAAUUUUACAUAUGCAUUGGAUGAUACAUCUUCUUUUACUGACAAAAAGGCUUUUCUCUGGAGAAAAUAAAAAGGCAGCUUUCCCUGAGAGCACACACUUCUAGCAAAGCCCCAAUCCAUAUGACUCUAAGACAGAGUGAUUUCCACCUUCUAGUCCUUACUUUCUUGCAAAAGGGGCUUUCAAAUCUCAUUACUGAUGGUCCCAUCUUUUAUUACUGGUGUUAUCAAUGGGAUGCUUGCAGCAGCUUAAGUAUGUGGAUAAAGAAGGAAUGCACAAUAUACGGUACUGAAUAUUUUUAAAAAGUGGUCUUUCAGAAUGUCUGUAUGUGUGGGGGCCCAUGCUUAGGCAUAUGUGCAUGCCAGUGUGUUAUUUAUGUUGAAACCAAUGUUUUACAUUAAUGGCUGGAAUUCCAGAAAAAUAAGAAAAUAUUUGUAUUUUCUAAACCAUUAAAAGUUUAGUGGAACUCAUUAAUAGUCUGUAUCAUCUCUCUGUAUAUUUCAGAAGUACAUUUUAAGUGUAACAGCUAGGGGUAAACUUUCAUAACUGUAUGAUUUGAACACAAGUACAAGAAAUAUUCAAGGUUUUCUUUUCUUUUUUUUUUUUAGAUGAAGUCUCACUCUUAUCGCCGUAGCUAUAGUGCAAUGGCGCUGUCUCAGCUCACUGCAACCUCCGCCUCCUAGGUUAAAGCAAUUCUCCUGCCUCAGCCUCCGUAGUAGCUGGGAUUACAGGAUCCUGCCACCACACCCACUAAUUUUUGUAUUUUUGGUAGAGAAUGGGUUUCACCAUGUUGGACAGGCUGGUCAUGAACUCCUGACCUCAGUCGAUCCACCCGCCUUGGCCUCCCAAAGUGCUGGAUUACAGGUGUCCACCGCGCCUGGCCAAUAUUCAAGUUUACACAGGAAAAAGAAUACUUUCUCUGCAUAACCUUUACUUAUUUACUCAUAAGCCUCUAGUUCUCUCUGGAUUUGACUGUAAAUCUCAACACAUUUCCCAGAAACUAACAUCUUCUGGCUGACUUCUAUUAAAAAUUCAGACAAAGAAAAAAACUGAAUACAAUGGAGAGAGAUUAUAAUACUGCUAUUCUCCCAUUCUCUCUCUCUACAGCAUAUCACCUCCUCCAAAAUCAGUUCAUAUCUAACUCCUAGCACAUUUUUAGUUAAAAAUAUACAUGCACAAAAUAUAUGUGUAAAUACACAUGCUGAUAUCACACAUAUGUGUGUGUGUGUGUGUAUAUAUAUAUACACAAAAGCAGAUAUAUAUAUAUAUAUAUAUAUACACAAAAGCAGAUAUAUAUAUAUGCUUUCUU
rnacentral:lncRNA from 1 species